rnacentral:rRNA from 1 species
GAUGAACGCUGGUGGCGUGCCUAAUACAUGCAAGUCGAACGAAACUUCUUUAUCACCGAGUGCUUGCACUCACCGAUAAAGAGUUGAGUGGCGAACGGGUGAGUAACACGUGGGCAACCUGCCCAAAAGAGGGGGAUAACACUUGGAAACAGGUGCUAAUACCGCAUAACCAUAGUUACCGCAUGGUAACUAUGUAAAAGGUGGCUAUACUACCGCUUUUGGAUGGGCCCGCGGCGCAUUAGCUAGUUGGUAGGGUAAAGGCUUACCAAGGCAAUGAUGCGUAGCCGAAUUGAGAGGUUGAUCGGCCACAUUGGGACUGAGACACGGCCCAAACUCCUACGGGAGGCAGCAGUAGGGAAUCUUCCACAAUGGGCGAAAGCCUGAUGGAGCAACGCCGCGUGGGUGAAGAAGGUCUUCGGAUCGUAAAACCCUGUUGUUAGAGAAGAAAGUGCGUGAGAGUAACUGUUCACGUUUCGACGGUAUCUAACCAGAAAGCCACGGCUAACUACGUG